GAAAUCAAAUGAUUAUAUAUAUUAUGAGAAGACAUUUAUAUUACACUAAAGAGAUUGAAAUAUAAAUCAAAUUGUAAAAGAGAAAUGCUUCCGUCUAAAAUAUGAGGAGAUCUGUGACACUGUCGUAUUGGAGAGUUUCUAUUCGAUUCGUUUAAUUAUGAGUUCAACUUGAAAGCAACGUCCAGUUAAUAAUUCAAUUAAAUCAAAUGCUAAGACCUUCAACUUGCGAAUAUCGCGUUACAGUUGCUUAACUUUGUCUCAAUACAUUUUUAAUUCUACAUUUCCUAAAUAAAUUUUAAGUCAAUUUCCAUUCAUUUGAUAUUAAAUUCUCUCGGAGUUAUAUUAAUUUAAUUUUUAUAAAGUAUCGCCUCAUAAUAAAUCUUCUUAUCGCGUGUCUACACGUGUCUUGUAUUUAUAAGUAAACAUUCAACCUAGGUCUCGAACAAACGAACUGUUUAUUUAGUAAUAUGAUCACUGAGUCUGUCUGUCAGCGCCACAUCAGUGAUAUUAUAAUAUAUUUAUAAUGAUAAUAUUGACAUUUGUUUGUCGCUGUCCGUUAGAGACGCGUCGCUCACAGUCUAUUAUUAUAAAUUGCUCAGAGGAAUCAAUUAAAUUAAUUAAUAAUUGCUCGGUAUUUUCAUUCAGGUUAUAGGUCUGAAGGUAAGGUCUCAAAUUUAUAUAAAUGUUGUUUGAUUAAAAUCAUUAGUCGUAAUAUUCACAGAGAAAAGCGCAACUUGUCUGGGAUUCGUAUUAAUGACAUGAAUAGUAUCAGUACUAAAAAUACACCCUAUUUAUAAAUAUAAAAGCUAUAUGUAUGUACGGAUAAGAUGCGCCUCGUCCUCCUGUAUGUUGUGUUCCAGACGAUAUUUGCGACGUCCAUCUUUCAUUUGUCUCUGUCAUUUGUUAAGAGGUUGAGAUUCAUCAUGUGAACAGUCUACGGAGUGUGACGUCAUCGGCAUCUUAAGGUUCGCGUUCUCGAGUGACCGCACCUGGACGCAUUUCUCUCCGUCACUUGAUACCCUACGGCCUACAAGGUUAUAAUAGGCACUACACUCGUACUAUAAACUAUGUUGUGCCACGCUCGCUGAGGGUGACUUACGACAUUCUCGUGGUUCCUACAUCGGACCUAUCAGACUCACUGACUGUCACAUCUUCUAUGCAACCCCUGUAUUAUCAUAAUGCAUGGAGUAUUUUAUGUCACGAUAAAAAAACUAGUUUAAAUCCAAUAAAAAAAUAUGCGAUAGUGAAUACUUAAUUAAGUGAAAACUCCUCCGCAUUCAUUAUCAUGGGUCAAAAAUAACUUACAUCAUUGGACUUUAUCACCUUUGAACUCAUAUUAACUGAACCUAGCUAAGAUCUAAUGCAAGGAUCCUGGGGUUCAAAUGAAAAAAACAGCAUCGAAAUUAGCCGAUUCGUUUGAGAGCUACGAGGCCACAGACGGACACACACACAAACAUCGACGUCAAAUAUAUAUGCUCUUUGGCAUCGUUGAAAAUGAUGUUUAGUAAAUGUCUCGAUGAACAAAUUAUUUCUCUUUAAAGGAACGCGUUGUGACGGACGCGGACUAAACUUUCUCAUCUUUUAGAAACUAAAUGCCUACAUCAUAAUAAAUCACAAAACACAGAAACUAGCUUACAUCGUAUUUGUAAGUCGAAACGUUCAACUUUACUGACCUUGACCGAAGCUUGACUCAGCAGUCAGAGGCUGACCGUCAAAGUCCUUCUACAAACUAUUUUAUGCCUACAAGGGACUUCACUCCGAGAGAGCUGACGAAGAGGUGUAUCAACUUAUCUUAGUCUGAACUUCCCAGUUCUUGAUCCAAGCGAUGGUUGAUUUAAAUUCGUAGGGAAUCAAAAUUAAAAUUUUGUACUUGAUAAUAAACUUUUA